rnacentral:rRNA from 1 species
UUAAGUAACUAAGCGUACAAGGUGGAUGCCUUGGCAAUCAGAGGCGAAGAAGGACGUGCUAAUCUGCGAAAAGCUUGGAUGAGUCGAUAAGAGGCGUUUAAUCCAAGAUAUCCGAAUGGGGAAACCCAGUAGAUGAAGAAUCUACUAUCAACAAGUGAAUUCAUAGCUUGUUGAGGCAAACCGGGAGAACUGAAACAUCUAAGUACCCCGAGGAAAAGAAAUCAACCGAGAUUUCGUCAGUAGCGGCGAGCGAAAGCGAAAGAGCCAGUAAGUGAUAGCAGUAUAGUGAGGAGAAUGUGUUGGGAAGCACAAUCAAAGAGGGUGAUAAUCCCGUAUCUAAAAACCAUAUUGUGGUACUAAGCUAACGAGAAGUAGGGCGGGACACGUGAUAUCCUGUUUGAAGAAGGGGGGACCAUCCUCCAAGGCUAAAUACUCCUGAUUGACCGAUAGUGAACCAGUACUGUGAAGGAAAGGCGAAAAGAACCCCGGUGAGGGGAGUGAAAUAGAACCUGAAACCUUGUACGUACAAGCAGUGGGAGCCCCAUCACUUAAUCCGAUUGGAAGGUGAUGAAAAGCAACCGCACUUAAACAAUGGUAAGAGGAGCGAAGCGAGUCAAACCACCCAAAAGAAGCAGUGGGAUUAAGUGAUGGGGUGACUGCGUACCUUUUGUAUAAUGGGUCAGCGACUUAUAUUUUGUAGCGAGGUUAACUGAAUAGGGGAGCCGAAGGGAAACCGAGUCUUAACUGGGCGAGUAGUUGCAAGGUAUAGACCCGAAACCCGGUGAUCUAGCCAUGGGCAGGUUGAAGGUUGGGUAACACUAACUGGAGGACCGAACCGACUAAUGUUGAAAAAUUAGCGGAUGACUUGUGGCUGGGGGUGAAAGGCCAAUCAAACCGGGAGAUAGCUGGUUCUCCCCGAAAUCUAUUUAGGUAGAGCCUUGAGGUGACACCUUUGGGGGUAGAGCACUGUUUCGGCUAGGGGGCCAUCCCGGCUUACCAACCCGAUGCAAACUACGAAUACCAAAGAGUGAUACUCAGGAGACACACGGCGGGUGCUAACGUCCGUCGUGGAGAGGGAAACAACCCAGACCGCCAGCUAAGGUCCCCAAGUCUAUAUUAAGUGGGAAACGAAGUGGGAAGGCUUAGACAGCUAGGAUGUUGGCUUAGAAGCAGCCAUCAUUUAAAGAAAGCGUAAUAGCUCACUAGUCGAGUCGGCCUGCGCGGAAGAUGUAACGGGGCUGAAAUAUAGCACCGAAGCUGCGGCAUCAGAAUUUAUUCUGUUGGGUAGGGGAGCGUUGUGUAAGCGGAAGAAGGUUCAUCGAGAGGUGGGCUGGACGUAUCACAAGUGCGAAUGCUGACAUAAGUAACGAUAAAACGGGUGAAAAACCCGUUCGCCGGAAGACCAAGGGUUCCUGUCCAACGUUAAUCGGGGCAGGGUGAGUCGGCUCCUAAGGCGAGGCUGAAAAGCGUAGUCGAUGGGAAACAGGUUAAUAUUCCUGUACUUGGUAAAGCUGCGAUGUGGGGACGGAGUAGGUUAGGUUAUCGCACUGUUGGAUAUGUGCGUUUAAGUUGGUAGGUGGGAAGUUUAGGCAAAUCCGGGCUUCCUUAACACAGAGAGAUGAUGACGAGGCUCUACGGAGCUGAAGUAACUGAUACCACACUUCCAGGAAAAGCCACUAAGCGAAAGGCUUUACUAAACCGUACUGAAAACCGACACAGGUGGUCAGGUAGAGAAUACUCAGGCGCUUGAGAGAACUCGGGUGAAGGAACUAGGCAAAAUAGCACCGUAACUUCGGGAGAAGGUGCGCCGGCGUAGAUUGUAAGGGCUAGCCCCUGAAGGUUGAACCGGUCGAAGAUACCAGCUGGCUGCAACUGUUUAUUAAAAACACAGCACUCUGCAAACACGAAAGUGGACGUAUAGGGUGUGAUGCCUGCCCGGUGCUGGAAGGUUAAUUGAUGGUGUAAUCGCAAGAGAAGCACCUGAUCGAAGCCCCAGUAAACGGCGGCCGUAACUAUAACGGUCCUAAGGUAGCGAAAUUCCUUGUCGGGUAAGUUCCGACCUGCACGAAUGGCAUAAUGAUGGCCAGGCUGUCUCCACCCGAGACUCAGUGAAAUUGAAAUCGCCGUGAAGAUGCGGUGUACCCGCGGCUAGACGGAAAGACCCCGUGAACCUUUACUAUAGCUUGACACUGAACAUUGAAUUUUGAUGUGUAGGAUAGGUGGGAGACUUAGAAGUAGUCACGCCAGUGAUUAUGGAGUCGACCUUGAAAUACCACCCUUUAACGUUUGAUGUUCUAACGAAGAUGACGAAACGUGGUCUCGGACAGUGUCUGGUGGGUAGUUUGACUGGGGCGGUCUCCUCCCAAAGCGUAACGGAGGAGCACGAAGGUUUGCUAAUCACGGUCGGACAUCGUGAGGUUAGUGCAAUGGUAUAAGCAAGCUUAACUGCGAGACAGACAAGUCGAGCAGGUACGAAAGUAGGUCAUAGUGAUCCGGUGGUUCUGAAUGGAAGGGCCAUCGCUCAACGGAUAAAAGGUACUCCGGGGAUAACAGGCUGAUACCGCCCAAGAGUUCAUAUCGACGGCGGUGUUUGGCACCUCGAUGUCGGCUCAUCACAUCCUGGGGCUGAAGUAGGUCCCAAGGGUAUGGCUGUUCGCCAUUUAAAGUGGUACGCGAGCUGGGUUUAGAACGUCGUGAGACAGUUCGGUCCCUAUCUGCCGUGGGCGUAGGAGAAUUGGUUGGGGCUGCUCCUAGUACGAGAGGACCGGAGUGGACGCACCACUGGUGUUCCGGUUGUGUCGCCAGACGCAUUGCCGGGUAGCUAAGUGCGGAAGAGAUAAGUGCUGAAAGCAUCUAAGCACGAAACUUGCCAAGAGAUGAGUUCUCCCAAUCAAAGAGAUUGUAAGGGUUGUUGUAGACUACGACGUAGAUAGGUCUGGUGUGUAAGUGUAGUGAUACAUUGAGCUAACAGAUACUAAUUGCCCGAGAGGCUUAACU